rnacentral:rRNA from 1 species
GAUGAACGCUAGCGGCAGGCUUAACACAUGCAGGUCGAGGGGUAUAGUUCUUCGGAGCUAGAGACCGGCGCACGGGUGCGUAACGCGUAUGCAAUCUACCUUUUGCAGAGGGAUAGCCCAGAGAAAUUUGGAUUAAUACCUCAUGGUAUGUGAGAAUGGCAUCAUUUUCACAUUAAAGUCACAACGGCAAAAGAUGAGCAUGCGUGCCCAUUAGCUAGUUGGUAAGGUAACGGCUUACCAAGGCAACGAUGGGUAGGGGUCCUGAGAGGGAGAUCCCCCACACUGGUACUGAGACACGGACCAGACUCCUACGGGAGGCAGCAGUGGGGAAUAUUGGACAAUGGGCGCAAGCCUGAUCCAGCCAUGCCGCGUGCAGGAUGACGGUCCUAUGGAUUGUAAACUGCUUUUGUACAGGAAGAAACACUGGUUCGUGAACCAGCUUGACGGUACUGUAAGAAUAAGGAUCGGCUAACUCCAUGCCAGCAGCCGCCGUAACAC